GAUGAACGCUGGCGGCGUGCUUAACACAUGCAAGUCGAACGGAAAGGCCCAAGCUUGCUUGGGUACUCGAGUGGCGAACGGGUGAGUAACACGUGGGUGGUCUGCCCUGCACUUCGGGAUAAGCCUGGGAAACUGGGUCUAAUACCGGAUAGGACCACUUCUUGGAUGUUGUGGUGGAAAGUUUUUCGGUGUGGGAUGAGCUCGCGGCCUAUCAGCUUGUUGGUGGGGUAAUGGCCUACCAAGGCGUCGACGGGUAGCCGGCCUGAGAGGGUGUACGGCCACAUUGGGACUGAGAUACGGCCCAGACUCCUACGGGAGGCAGCAGUGGGGAAUAUUGCACAAUGGGCGCAAGCCUGAUGCAGCGACGCCGCGUGGGGGAUGACGGCCUUCGGGUUGUAAACUCCUUUCGCUAGGGACGAAGCUUAUUUUGUGACGGUACCUGGAGAAGAAGCACCGGCUAACUACGUG
rnacentral:rRNA from 1 species